CCUCUCAUGGCGUAGUGGUUAACGCGCCCCAACUUUUAGAUCGGGGAGUCGUGAGUUCGAUUCUCACUGAGAAGA
rnacentral:tRNA from 1 species